CUAAGGGUAACUAGCCGAGUGAAGCGGGAAAAGCUCAAAUUUAAAAUCUGGCGGUCUUUGGCCGUCCGAUUUGUACUCUGGACAAGUGCUUUCCGCGCUGGACCGUGUAUAACUCUCUUGGAACGGAACGUCAUAGAGGGAGAGAAUCCCAUCUUUGACGCGGACUACCAGUGCUUUGUGAUGCGCUCUCAAAGACUCGAGUUGUUUGAGAAUGCCUCUCAAAGUGGGUGGUGAAUUCCCUCUAACGCUAAAUAUUGGAGAGACACCGAUCGCGAACAAAUACCGUGAGGGAAAUAUGAAAAGCACUUUGGAAAGAGAUUUAAACACUACGUGUUGUUGCUGAGAAGGAAACUCUUGACAUCAGUCGCGUUGUCCAGAACUCCGGCUUGCUUUUGCUUGGGGCACUUUCCGGGUGACGGGUCAGCAUCGAUUUUGACCGUCAGAAAAGGGCUGGAGUAGUGUGGCCCCUCCGGGUGUGUUAUACACUCUGGUCACAUACGGAGGUUGGGAUCGAGGAACGCAGCGCGCCGCAGGGCGGGGGUUCGCCCACUUUCGCGCUUAGGAUGCUGGCAUAAUGGCUUUAAACGACCCGUCUUGAAACACGGACCAAGGAGUCUAACAUACCUGCAAGUGUUUGGGUGGAAAACCCUAACGCGCAAUGAAAGUGAAACUUGAGACCCCUGUCGUGGGGGGC
rnacentral:rRNA from 1 species